rnacentral:rRNA from 1 species
ACGCUCGACACCUACGGUAGGCAGCAGUGAGGAAUAUUGGUCAAUGGGCGCAGGCCUGAACCAGCCAAGUAGCGUGAAGGAUGACUGCCCUAUGGGUUGUAAACUUCUUUUAUAUGGGAAUAAAGUUUUCCACGUGUGGAAUUUUGUAUGUACCAUAUGAAUAAGGAUCGGCUAACUCCGCGCCAGCAGCCGCGGUAAUCUGAGCGGGCUGGCAAGGC